CAUCUAACAUUUUAUGAAUAAACUGAUGAGGUAGUUAUAAUGGAAAAAAGACAUAACCUCAACCGCUACCAACACUAUAGAACAAAUUACUUCUGAAUGAAUUGCUGAUCUAAAUUUUCAUGGGAAGUCUUUGUCUAGGUCUCUUUUCCUUUCCAACUCAAGACCCUCGGUGGACAGCACCUAAGCACGAAGACAACUGCAAGUUUCUGGCCAGGGCCAUUCUCCGGUGAAACUGAAAGGUUUCUGUGUGGAAGUGCCUGACUGCCACCGCUUGGUUCAGUAAUAGUCCCUGAUCCCUAUGUGUGAUGCAGUUGGCAGCAGUAGCUCGUCCAGGGCGAACUCACAGGUUUCAGACCACUAUGGGCAACUCUCCACCUCUUCCACCUGAUUCCAUGCUUGGCUAUAUCCUCAACCAUUGAAAUAAAUUUGACCCUGAC